CCCUCCGCUCUGCUGUUGCUGCUUCUUCUGCGUUGGUACGUGCACGCGGACGCGUAGAGAAGGGACACUGGCCUCUCUGAUACCACGCGAGAAACGGAGUUCGUCUAUCAGUGCGACGCAGGUUCUCCCGGAGGAUGAUGCUGUUUGCUGAGAUUCACGGAUUUGUGUCAUACUUGCGGAUGAACCAAGUUCGAACUACGCCAUCAUCAUUCACGAGUCACCAAAAGCUAUCUUAGCAGGCCCAUUUCCUCGAUCGAGGGUAAUCAAGCCACGCAUCGAAGAAAGAGCAAAGGGAAGAGAGGCUUCACUGCGUCAGCGAUAAUGAGCAGCUCCCGACGAGAGGAGCAGAAGCUUCACAAAAGAAUGGAGGUAGCUCCGGUGGAUUAAAAGGCAAAUGGGAAUCGCUCGGGGCGUCACCGGAGACUACUCUGUCAUCGAGUGAGCACGCGUGCAGCGGCGAAAUGCGUGCGCACGCGAGAGAGCUCGGGAUUUAAGCUUUUAAUCUUGGAAUGGAACCCCGGGCUUGGCUCCAAAUUUUUUCCCGAUUGGAUAUUCUUUGCUUCGCGCGCGUGUAUCGUUCGGAGUGGCUUUUUCGACGUUGCUUCGUCGACGGCUUGUCAGUUUGGUGGGCUAAAAAUGACGCGCAUAACCGUAUCCAGAACCAUAGCACACCCGAUGUAUAUUCGAGUAUCCAUACACCCGUGACAGCACGAAAUCUGCCGAAGCCCAUAGCUUUAUUGAAACAGGCUCUCCCUUACGUACUGUCGGUCAACUCAGCCUGUAUAAAGCCCCUCGGGAUCAAAUCUUCGCGCGAAGACGAGGAUGCGGGGGCGUCCGACGGCUAUCGAUCGCGCCCGCGUAGGUACACCCCAGAUAGUACGCGCGAGCGAUGGAAUAAGUGGCAUCGGAGGUAUAUGUAGGGAUGCUGCUGCUGCAGCGGCAGCCAAUUUGUCGGGCGAGAUGGCUUCCGCCUCGAAUGCAAAUUUCUCAUGCUAAAUAGACGAGGGUGUGUGUGUGUGUGUUUGUGGUUGAGGAACGAACGAGUUAACUAGAUAGCGAGAAAAGGGUCGCGCUCGCACAUACUGCUGAUGCGUCCCUUGCCGCUGAAAUAGUGGAUCGAGGAGAGCGUAGGAGGGAUUUCGGACGAAAGAGGGAAUUCAAAAUUCUCGUCAGUGAGAGCUGACUCGUUUUGGAGGUUUCCUUGAGUGAACUGCCGGUGUGCGGUACUUGGUGAGGAUUAUUUUUGCCGGCGAUUGAUUCAGAUUUUAGGUGGAUUGAAAGUUACGUUUGUGAUAUGUACGUACGUGAGAAUUCGUGGGUGUUUGACGGAGGUCGAGAAAAGUGCCUUACCUGUAACAGAAAAGGUUGAAAGUUUGUUAAAAAUUGUAUGGUAAUAAUAGAUAUUAUCGUUAUAUCAUUUUCACAUUACACGUGCUUUAGUUCAAUUAAACGUAUGUAUAAUAUACAUGUAAGAGAGUUUCGAUACAACACGCACUUCUCAUUACGAACGAGAUGAUAAUACUUAAUUAUCCGAAUUAAUGGCUAUUAGAUAUUGAACGUUGCAAAUUUAACGGCAUUUAUUGAAUUUAAUCAGUCUUCUCCAGAGCAUAAUGAAUACCAACAUCGCAAUGAUGACCAAAUUAUGCGUACCAAUCGAGUCUUACAAAUACUUACGCCAAGCUUUAAACAAUGAAAAUGAAUUUCGGAACAAAGCGACGAUAACGUGAGCGUAAAAGACAUCGACCCCAUUAACAAAUCUUGCAAACGAGCGACACAUUCCAUGUCUAUCCUCCACAGCUCAAAGAGAUUCCCGCACAGAGGAUCCGGCCAUUGAGCAGAACCGUCCGUAAUUACGAACAAAGCGCGAUAAAGAUUAUACAGGAAAACCGGAAGGGGUGGCAAAAACGCGGGGGUGGAUAGGGGGGCACGCGAGCCUCCGGAAUAAAGUGUGUGCCGGGACGAAGAUUGAUUAAUCCCGCGGUGCGUGGAAUUGUUUGUUUCCAGGGAAAACGAAACGAUUGAGGGGUCAUCCGUAGGGGUUUUUUCCUCCCCCCAGUCGGUCACGAUCGCGUAACUGGGUAAUAUUCGAAAAAGCGAUUCCGUUGAAUUUUACAUCCUACGUGCGCGCGUUCGCAGUUUUCAUCGGCGAAUUACACGCGUCAUGAUUUUCGCGAGCGCCGUGGGACUGACUGCUCGCUCCGUAACAUCCCUAAUCUCCCUAAAGGCCCCUCAACCCCUUUUCCAACGAGAGGCGACAAAGAAAGUAAAUAAUAGGCGCCGUAUCGGGUGAACCCGUUGGCAAAAGAAGAAACGUGAAUAGGGGGGCACAGGACAGCAGCCCCCUACGGCCGUAUUAGUGUCGUGUUUGGGCAACACCCCGCGAAAGAGAGGUGUCCACCGCACGAGGAAAUUACACACAUCGGCUCUCUUUUCACCCCUUCUGUGCGUGUGUGUUUACAGGCGCAGUGUCAUGCAAAUCAGCUGACGACGAAACCCCCUUUUUUCUUCAUACGCACGAGCGCGCGGUUUUGCGGCUGUCCCCUGCCACCGAGAUUAUUACAUGCGCACGAGUACAGGUGUGUUUGCCGGAGACUAUUGUUACCUCUCUCUCUCUCUCUCUCUCUCUCUCGUUAUUAUUCGCGUACGCGAGCGCGCGCGGUUAAUCCGGUCGAGAGUUGAAAUUAAGGGGACCGAGAAAGGGAGCAUGUUUCUCCGGGCGAGUUUUAUGGGGUGUUGAGUCCUCGAAUGCGCGCGUAACAACGGUCGCGACUUUCUUUUUUUCGGCGAGCUCCUCCCCCUUUCUGUUAUGCGGUCGGAUUCGGGUUUGACUCUUUCGUGUCAUCGAUGCUAUGUAUGGGCUCUUGUGUCAAAUCCGUGAAAUUGCUCACAACAUUACGAAAAUCAAUACAGCGUAAAGUUCGAACGAGUGACGCGCUCGAUUUCUCAACGCAAUACGCAGAGCUGCUACUGGCGGCGUUUGAUCGAUGCCACCAGCAGUAUAUCGCGCGCGGCAAACAAACUCUCGUUCGUCGCGCUGCUGUGUAUAAUGUUUGGUUAUAGACGACGCCCCGAAAAUUUCGUUCGACGCGACUGUGUUUACGUUGCGUUUAGAUUAAUAGGAGUCUCUCUCUCGGUGCGCGCGAAUCAAUAACCAUAAUUACAGGAACUUAUCGUCCUCGGGGGAUCUCGAUUUAUCGGGCGAGUCGCGCGCAGGGACGUUCCGCACGGCGAGACAGCCACAUCGAACUCGAUUCAAUUUCAGAUAAAGGAGGCAAAUACUUUUUUAUAUACACGCGAGAGAAUCACCUUGUAUACAUUAUAAUCACGACCGGCUUCGCUUUAUAAGGCUGUGUACAGCAACUGUUACAUUAAUUCGAACGUAUGGAAAUACGCGCGUUUUCUCCUUGUGAUAAAAUUCUCGACGAAUCGGUAAGAGGAACAUUAAAGUCGCUCGUAAUUCUCGACGCAUACCAUACAAUGCAAGAUUGUUUUCUCUCGAAAGCGAUGACUCAGGCAGCUCAACUGGAAACAAUCGACGACCAGAUCGGUGUAUAUGGAGAAUUCGUGAAUCAGCGCAGAGCGAGAGAGAAAUCGUCGUCGCGCGCAUGCACGUUCCUCUAGUAAAUCGAGGAAUUAUAAUUCGAAGUUUCCGAGAGAAGUAAGAGCUGCGCCGUCUCGUACACACUUCGCGCAAUCUCGAAGAGAGCUUUAUAUCCUCGUCGCGUGUAUUUUUCCGAAAUGACAAUCUCCGCAGCUUUGCAUAAGCGCGUAACGUGAAAAAGAGCGUCGUCCACACGUCGUUUGAGUAGAUUGAAAAAAAGUGUCCGAUGUCUUUCGCUGCAGAGGGGUAGAAGGGCGCGCGGUAAUGGCAUUCAUAAUGGGGAGGAGCUACACGCGCUCUGCCCUUAGGAGACAAAAACACGAAGAGAGGGGGGGGGGAUAUCGCUAAGCUCUGGGCGCUCCCCUUUAAGCUCGCGGCUGCAGGUAUGAGAGUGUAAUGUUAGCGAGUCGGAAUUUUGUUGGAAAUUGCACGAGAAAUAUUGAUAGAAUAGCAGUUCAAAUAAUAAAGAACCGUAUGAUACAAAGCCACUUAUAAAUAUACAAUAAUUGAAUCAUCCCCAAAUGAGACUGUCAGAAGCACACACACAAUAUACGGGCAUCGCGGUCGUAUUUUUCUUUUCAUUCCGGGGCACCCGUAAGGAGAUAAAUCAAUUCGUGCGUGUAUAGUCGAAGGCCACGGAUUACAAUAGUGUAAUAACGCGCGUAUACUUCCUCGAGUACCGAAGAUACGGGACACGCUACACUAGAAAAUGUAUCGACUAGUUUAGGUCCCCAUUCUAUUUUUGUACGUAAAAGAACGUAUGAAAAAAAACUGUUUGUAUUUUUCUUUCCACAGAUACUCGACGCUUCGAUAUGCGCAGCGUGAAAAGGAGUAUAUAUAAGUUACGCACAGGCGCGUGAGCGGAAAAAUCCGCGAAACUCCCGGAAACGACGACGCUUAUCCGAACAAUCGAAGCAGAAGCUGAGCGAGAGAGAGAGAGAACAGAGAGCAGCGCGGUCAGCGCGCAAACUCAAUUUCGGCGCGUCGCGAAGCGCAAAUUUAUCGCCGGAAGUUCCUCGAACGAUUCGGUCAGAAGAAGAAGAAGAAGUGUAGAGAGAAGGAGGAACAAGUUGGGCGUCUCCGGACUGAGUUUAUUAAAGUCGGCGCGGCGAAGAGAUGAAUAGGCAGUUGGCACGUAUGCGGAUAUCGCGCGCUUUUGCGCGUGUAUACGUGUUUAUAUUCCGAAACUUUUUGCUUUUCUUCUACUCCUUGAAGUUAAAUUUUGAAAAACUCCUUCAUCAAAAUCCCGAGCUUUCGCGUCGAAAACUAUCAGCGUCGCAACGUUUCUCUCGGCGCUAAUCCCUCUCUCUAUACGCGAGGGGGAAAAAAGAGAAGGAGGAAAAAAAACUUGUACAGCUGAGCACGACUCGUUUUCAAGUCUCCGCCGAGCCAUUGUUUUCGCUGUAUAGGAAGAAGUUGGACCGCCCCGUCGAGAAGCCGUCGCUGAAAAUUUUCGAGCGAGACAUCAAGGGCCGCCGGAGAGAUUUUACGAGGCGACGAAGAGACGCCUAAAGACGCGGCGACUGGACGAAGAACUUUGAGCCGAGUGAUUCUCGCUACGCGUGUGUAUAUAUGUAUAUACAGGCUCUUGGGAAUAUAGGAGAGUUUUAUGAUUU